UCGUGACUGCAAUGCCAUUGC
rnacentral:misc_RNA from 1 species